UCCUGGUCAGCUCAGUUGGUAGAGCGAUCCACUGAAAAUGAAGAGGUUCCGGGUUCGAUACCCGGACCAGGCG
rfam:Ixodes scapularis strain Wikel colony gcontig_1108378781596, whole genome shotgun sequence.